rnacentral:rRNA from 1 species
AACGAACGCUGGCGGCAUGCUUAACACAUGCAAGUCGAACGAAGCCCUGGAGCUUGCUCCUGAUGACGAGUGGCGGACGGGUGAGUAACGCGUGGGAACAUGCCUAUCAGUUGGGGACAACCUGUGGAAACGCAGGCUAAUACCGAAUAUGCACUAAGGUGUAAAGGUGGCCUCUACUUGUAAGCUAUCGCUGAUAGAUUGGCCCGCGUUGGAUUAGCUAGUUGGUGUGGUAAAGGCAUACCAAGGCGACGAUCCAUAGCUGGUUUGAGAGGAUGAUCAGCCACACUGGGACUGAGACACGGCCCAGACUCCCUACGGGAGGCAGCAGUGGGGAAUAUUGGACAAUGGGCGCAAGCCUGAUCCAGCAAUGCCGCGUGUGUGAAGAAGGCCUGAGGGUUGUAAAGCACUUUCAAUAGAGAAGAAGGGUAUUAAUUUAAUAAAUUAAUACAUUGACGUUACCUAUAGAAGAAGCACCGGCUAACUCUGUGCCAGCAGCCGCGGUAAUACAGAGGGUGCAAGCGUUAAUCGGAAUUACUGGGCGUAAAGCGCGCGUAGGUGGUUUGAUAAGUUGGAUGUGAAAUCCCCGGGCUUAACCUGGGUCGGUCAUUCAAAACUGUCAGACUAGAGUAUGGUAGAGGGCAGUGGAAUUCCUAGUGUAGCGGUGAAAUGCGUAGAUAUUAGGAGGAACACCAGUGGCGAAGGCGACUGCCUGGACUGAUACUGACACUGAGGUGCGAAAGCGUGGGUAGCGAACAGGAUUAGAUACCCUGGUAGUCCACGCUGUAAACGAUGACAACUAGACGUUGGGCUCCUUAGAGGGCUUAGUGUCGAAGCUAACGCGUUAAGUUGUCCGCCUGGGGAGUACGGUCGCAAGAUUAAAACUCAAAGGAAUUGACGG